UUCGUAGGCGGCAUGUCAAGUCUGGUGUUAAAGCCCGGAGCUCAACUCCGGUUCGGCAUUGGAUACUGGCAAGCUUGAGUGCAGAAGAGGCAAAGGGAAUUCCCAGUGUAGCGGUGAAAUGCGUAGAUAUUGGGAGGAACACCGGUGGCGUAAGCGCUUUGCUGGUCUGUAACUGACGCUGAGGAACGAAAGCCAGGGGAGCAAAUGGGAUUAGAUACCCCAGUAGUCCUGGCCGUAAACGAUGGAUACUAGGUGUUGCAGGUAUCGACCCUUGCAGUGCUGCAGCUAACGCAAUAAGUAUCCCGCUGGGGAGUACGCACGCAAGUGUGA
rnacentral:rRNA from 1 species